UUUAUUAUGUAAAAUAGAAACAUCCAACAUUACAAAUACCGCAAAAAGCUUUGAAAACUGAGUUUAAACUAUUUUUGUGAAAAGCAUAACUGUUUAAUUGCUGUGCGGCAAAAUUUAUUAAAGCAUACUGGAGCUAAAAAUUUCUACUAGGAAGCCUCUCUGUCUCCUUUACUUGACAAAAUGUGGCUUGGAAGCAGAUAUUUCAAAUUACAAACUAUCAUACUAUUAGUAACAAUUGGAGGAAGCAUGUGCAGCUUUCCAGUCAUAACUGGUAACCCAAGAUAUGUCUCAGUUUCCGAUGGUACUCCGGAUGGUAAUUUGCUGCUAUUCUUAAUAAGUUAAGAUGGUAUUUGGUCUAAAACUGUGCACUUUUUUUUGAUUAAUUUUAUAUCUAGAGGUGUUCUUUAAGGCCGAC